rnacentral:rRNA from 1 species
CAGCAGCCGCGGUAAUACAGAGGGUGCGAGCGUUAAUCGGAUUUACUGGGCGUAAAGCGUGCGUAGGCGGCUUCUUAAGUCGGAUGUGAAAUCCCUGAGCUUAACUUAGGAAUUGCAUUCGAUACUGGGAAGCUAGAGUAUGGGAGAGGAUGGUAGAAUUCCAGGUGUAGCGGUGAAAUGCGUAGAGAUCUGGAGGAAUACCGAUGGCGAAGGCAGCCAUCUGGCCUAAUACUGACGCUGAGGUACGAAAGCAUGGGGAGCAAACAGGAUUAGAUACCCCGGUAGUCCCUGUCCCUUAUAC